rnacentral:rRNA from 1 species
UACGGAGGGAGCUAGCGUUGUUCGGAAUUACUGGGCGUAAAGCGCACGUAGGCGGCUUUGUAAGUUAGAGGUGAAAGCCCGGGGCUCAACCCCGGAAUUGCCUUUAAGACUGCAUCGCUUGAAUCCGGGAGAGGUGAGUGGAAUUCCGAGUGUAGAGGUGAAAUUCGUAGAUAUUCGGAAGAACACCAGUGGCGAAGGCGGCUCACUGGACCGGUUCUGACGCUGAUGCGCGAAAGCGUGGGUAGCAAACAGG